rnacentral:rRNA from 1 species
AGAACGAACGCUGGCGGCAUGCCUAAUACAUGCAAGUCGAACGAACACUUCGGUGUUAGUGGCGCACGGGUGCGUAACGCGUGGGAAUCUGCCCUUGGGUUCGGAAUAACAGUUGGAAACGACUGCUAAUACCGGAUGAUAUCGAAAGAUCAAAGAUUUAUCGCCCAGGGAUGAGCCCGCGUAGGAUUAGCUAGUUGGUGAGGUAAAGGCUCACCAAGGCGACGAUCCUUAGCUGGUCUGAGAGGAUGAUCAGCCACACUGGGACUGAGACACGGCCCAGACUCCUACGGGAGCAGCA